GACGUAGGGGGCCAGCGUUGCUCGGAAUUACUGGGCGUAAAGGGUUCGUAGGCGGUGUGGCAAGUCGGUAGUGAAAUCUCCGGGCUUAACCCGGAAAGGUCAGCCGAUACUGCGGGGCUAGAGUGCAGAAGGGGCAACUGGAAUUCUCGGUGUAGCGGUGAAAUGCGUAGAUAUCGAGAGGAACACCUGCGGCGAAGGCGGGUUGCUGGGCUGACACUGACGCUGAGGCGCGAAAGCUAGGGGAGCGAACGGG
rnacentral:rRNA from 1 species